ensembl:rRNA 5S_rRNA 5S ribosomal RNA
GUCUACAGCUAUACCACCCUGAACAGGCCCGAUCUCUUCUGAUCUCAGAAGCUAAGCAGGGUUGGGCCUGGUUAGUACUUGUAUGGGAGAUAUGCACU